AACGCACAUUGCGCCCAUUAGUAUUCUAGUGGGCAUGCCUGUUCGAGCGUCAUUUCAACCCUCAAGCCUCAGCUGCUUGGUGUUGGGGUUCCCUGUAAUGAUUUGCAGGCCCCGAAAUACAGUGGCGGGCUCUCCAGGAUUCCGAGCGCAGUAGAAUCUCUUCGCUUUAGGGCGCCUGGCGAGUUUUCCGGCCGUAAAACUCCCCACUAUAAAAUCACAAGGUUGACCUCGGAUCAGGUAGGAAUACCCGCUGAACUUAA
rnacentral:misc_RNA from 1 species